CAACAAUAAUGGUGGCGUUGGAUUUCGCGAAACUUUUACAUCGGUUACCUGAAACUACACUCGCUUUCUCUUUCGUUAUUCUGUCCUUCUGUGUCUGCAGUGGAUCUGUACACAAAGAGGCGGAGCUGUCCAGCGAUGAUUCACACGUCCUGAGGCACCCUUCAAGUGGAAACGCUCAUUAUCCGAUUUUUGCGAACGAAACCGCGGUUUCUCGUGUCCACCGAAGCAAGGCGGACUUGAUUUACAACGUCGGAGAUAUUCCACAGCAGGAUCUCCAGGCCAGGCCUUUGUUUCGAGAUGCUGGUCACGAGAGCUGUCCGUCGGACGUGCCUUGCAACAGACUCAACGCCGAGUGCCUUAAGUGCGAGUUCAACUACUCUUGCGUCUAUGGCGAGGAAGUUACGGUUAUGUGUCAGCCCAAGCAGGGAAUCAAGUGCAUUGACAAGUCUGGUGCCUUUGAGCGCAAGAUGAUCUGCCGCUACUGCUAUCAGACGGCAAACAGCGACCACACUUGUGACCACAAUAGCACUUGCCAGGUGAACAGUGCUCCUCGUCAGCGCUACAUUGCAACAUGCAGCGUCCGACCUGAUGUUCUCUGUUUGGGUAGGAGACAGUUUCAUAAGAAUUUGCUAUGCAAUUGGACCAGGGGCUACAGUUGGUGCACAGCCCUAGUGCUCAGCAUUGUGCUUGGUGGUUUUGGAGCCGACCGGUUCUACCUGGGCAUGUGGCAAGAGGGCAUUGGCAAGCUCUUCAGCUUUGGUGGACUCGGUGUCUGGACGCUGGUUGAUGUCGUACUUGUGGCUGCAGGCUAUUUGGGGCCAGCCGAUGGUUCCCUCUACAUUUCCUAAUAAGGGCACUCUAGUCAGUUGUGGAAUUCAUUAACAGUGCACUUGGAAGGGCCAAUACGUUUACGCAAGCUGUAGGUGCGCCAAAAAGCUCAGAGUAGGGUCACAGCGUGAAAAUUUCUACCCACCCCCUUACUCCCACAUCUCCAUGAACCUCACUUAUAGCGAUAUCACGAGAAAAGCCAAGGUAGGGGCCAGUUGGUUGUACCUAGUUUAAACUUUUAGUGUGCUACAGGGAAACGAAAGCAACGUAAAUAGAUUCUCUGUAGCGUGCUAAAAGUUUACACAUCACAAGAAACACAACGCGUGAUCCCUGGGUGCCCACAUUACGGCCCAGUUCCUUGAAAAAGCUCGUGCGACAAGAUCUGUGGCAAAAAGGCCAGGCUUGCUUCUCUGUCCCGAGUCAGCAGAUGAUACUGGUUCAUUUCCCGAAACCCACAACAUUGUACCUGAACCAUCUUCAUUUCACAACACUCAUGUUCAUUAUGAGACUUUUUUUUUUUCGUUAAGACUGAAUGUAAGCUCCGAUUUCUUUGCUAGGCGAAUACAGACUGACAGUUUCUGUCCUGCUUUCAAAAGUGCGGUGGGAUGCAAGGACCCUACAGCGUAGCUUAGAAGAGGAGCAAAUCCUGAAGAGGAAGUACUGUCACAUUUGUGUUUCUAUUGGACAGGUGUUGUAGAAGCUCAAAGUUGAGUGCUGCAGUGCAUCGAGGAGUUUAUAGCAUUUUUGAAAGCGGUGUCAUUGUGGCUUGCAUUUGGAUAUUCCCUCUGGCUGUGUUCCGGUGCUCCAUCACUUUCUGUGUGUGCUGAUUCAUCAAACUGACCAAUGCGAUCGGGGAGCAAGAAACAGGUGGCCAGGACAUCCAGUUUGCCUUGAGCACAUGGCCUGUGGGACCUGAGAAAAAGCAGGGUUUGAAGCCCUGUACCUCCAGUGCUGGUCCCAAGUGAACAUGCAGAGGAAGCUACGCUGCAAGCCUGCGACCUUGACUGUUCAUGAGGACUUUGCACCUUCUUUGACGAGUAACUCGGUGCUCCUUCGAAAAUAGUUGGCAGAGCAUCCUUGGCAAGUCCCACUCUCCUUUUGCCUGACAUCAACAGCUGUAGACCACGUAAAAUGUGAAGCGAUGUUUUUCACAACAUGGUCUGUUUACUGGAGUACCCGCUCUUUGUGAAAGAUUGCCCAUCUCCAUGCAUCAAGCCUUGCUUGGUCGUGUGGUAGGGGCAUGAGAGGUGAUAACUUCUCUUUACACAACUUAAAGCUUGCAUUGAAGUAUGGUAGAAAGUAUUUUCCCAUCAUGAAGUGCACCACUCCAUCAAACAGCGAAAGAAAUCGAAGUGCAAGCACACGUGCACGAGAUCAGAAAAGCAGGCGCAGCCACGAAGGUGGGAACUAUGUAGUUUCUUCUGCUAUCUCUCAAGGAGUCUCCCAACCAGAACUUUAUUCACCUUCCCAUGAAGCAUUGCUAUGUGCUGUUCUCUCACCUGAACUAUUUUAAACCGUGGCAUAAAAUAGUGGGAGGCAACAUAAAAAAAAAAAGGCUGAAUGAAUGUAGGAACACUUCCGUAUUGUAUCAUGGCUUGCUCACUGCAGUAAGGCCGUAGGGUGUACAAACCUUACUAUGCGCACUGCAACUUCACAAGAGUGCGACAAAACUCUGCAAGCACAUCACAAAUGCUGCAUUCCGCUGCUGCAAACGUGCAGCACGCCAUUGCCAAAGCCUUCUGUGAUGUUAUCACUUGCAGUUGGGCAAGUAGAAUGCGCUUCACACAACCUAGAAUGCGCUUUGAAAGGCAAGUUCAAACUAUUGAAUUGAAGUUCUAGCAUCAAGUGCAGAGGUAGUCAAAGGACAACUUAAAAACGUGUUAUUGUCGGUUUACUAGGGUGUCGGCACGAAGCAGCGGGCAGUGAAAAUUGGUGACAAAAUUUUUUGUGUAUUGAACACCACCUUAUAGCCAAAAACAACAGCGUAUUUUAUUGAAACAAAAGGUCUAAAAAUACUUAUUCGCGGAGUUGGUAAUGCCUCUCGUACGAAGAACGUCCCUUUGUACAUUGAAAGGCCUCCAAAUUCUUUCAAGUUUUGCGAAGAAAUGGUCAAGGACUGACAGGCAUCAUUGAUUUAUGAAAUAUUCUGAUUAAAAGUGGUAUUGUUAGCUUUUAAGCUUGCAUUCCAGUUUUGAUCAGAAUGAAGUUGAUAUGUGAUAAUACGAUGCAGUUAAAUACAGCGUGAUUUUGUGACCUUACAGCCGAUAGCAUAAUACGUCGUCAGUGUUAAAGUUUUCUUUUUCUGUUAGGAAUUCAGUUGCUGCUUGUUUUGCUUAUUCGUGCAAAAACUGUCAUGUUUUUUUCCUCUAUGUUCUUGAGAAUAUUCCAAGAGAAAGAGAAUGCAGAGAAUGGGGUGGUUCAUGCAUUGAAGUGUUUUGGGAAAAUGUGUGUAAGUUUUCUUGUGGCCUGAAUGAAGAGAUGGCGUUAACACAAUUGCUGUAAGCAUACAAAGACCACCAAACUUCUGGGGUGCUACAAUAGCCAUCACUACUAUGUUAUUUGCUGUAGUUAAGAAGUGAUUAAAUUGAAUCUACGUGCAUUAGUAAAAUUCCAACUGCAGACAUACAGCAAGGGCUGCUGGAUACUGUGUAACAAAUGCUCUUAGCAGGUCGGUAUUUGCCCACAGCAGAGAAUAUGUCGUCGGGCAGUGCCUGUGCUGGUUGAAAUCUUAAUUGAAAUCUUAAGCCAUCUCUUUAAGUACGUAGUGUCAUUACUAUGUUGUGUUACUGAGAGAUAUUGUUUGCACGUCUUUCUGCACUAUCACGUAUGUGCAAAGAGUUGUGGGUGAAUUGCUGGGAUUGCAGUGAGACAACUGCUUUGUGGAGGUGGGCAUGUGGCAAAGCAGUUAUUGUAAAUAUACUAGUGUAUACAAAGUCUUGUAUGAUUGUUUGGAAAAUAAAUUCUUUAAGUGC